rnacentral:rRNA from 1 species
AUGAACGCUAGCGACAGGCCUAACACGAUGCAAGUCGAGGGGCAGCACAAGGAGCAAUCUGAGGUGGCGACCGGCGCACGGGUGAGUAACACGUAUGCAACCUGCCUGUAAGCGGGGAAUAACCCGUUGAAAGACGGACUAAUACCGCAUAAUACUAAAUUACUGCAUGGUAAUUUAUUUAAACAUUUAUGGCUUACAGAUGGGCAUGCGCAUGAUUAGCUAGUUGGAGAGGUAACGGCUCCCCAAGGCAACGAUCAUUAGGGGUUCUGAGAGGAAGGUCCCCCACACUGGUACUGAGACACGGACCAGACUCCUACGGGAGGCAGCAGUGAGGAAUAUUGGUCAAUGGACGAGAGUCUGAACCAGCCAAGUCGCGUGCAGGAAGAAUGUUCCCUAUGGAUUGUAAACUGCUUUUGCAGGGGAAUAAAGUGCAUCACGUGUGAUGUUUUGUAUGUACUCUGCGAAUAAGGAUCGGCUAACUCCGUGCCAGCCGCUGC